GGACCCUUGGCGCAACGGUAGCGUGUGUGAUUCCAGUCCACAAGGUUAACGGUUCAAAUCCGUUAGGGUUCA